AGUGAACGCUGGCGGUAGGCCUAACACAUGCAAGUCGAACGGCAGCACAGAGGAGCUUGCUCCUUGGGUGGCGAGUGGCGGACGGGUGAGGAAUACAUCGGAAUCUACUCUGUCGUGGGGGAUAACGUAGGGAAACUUACGCUAAUACCGCAUACGACCUACGGGUGAAAGCAGGGGAUCUUCGGACCUUGCGCGAUUGAAUGAGCCGAUGUCGGAUUAGCUAGUUGGCGGGGUAAAGGCCCACCAAGGCGACGAUCCGUAGCUGGUCUGAGAGGAUGAUCAGCCACACUGGAACUGAGACACGGUCCAGACUCCUACGGGAGGCAGCAGUGGGGAAUAUUGGACAAUGGGCGCAAGCCUGAUCCAGCCAUACCGCGUGGGUGAAGAAGGCCUUCGGGUUGUAAAGCCCUUUUGUUGGGAAAGAAAUCCAGCCGGCUAAUACCUGGUUGGGAUGACGGUACCCAAAGAAUAAGCACCGGCUAACUUCGUGCCAGCAGCCGCGGUAAUACGAAGGGUGCAAGCGUUACUCGGAAUUACUGGGCGUAAAGCGUGCGUAGGUGGUUAUUUAAGUCCGUUGUGAAAGCCCUGGGCUCGACCUGGGAACUGCAGUGGAUACUGGAUGACUAGAAUGUGGUAGAGGGUAGCGGAAUUCCUGGUGUAGCAGUGAAAUGCGCAGAGAUCAGGAGGAACAUCCAUGGCGAAGGCAGCUACCUGGACCAACAUUGACACUGAGGCACGAAAGCGUGGGGAGCAAAACAGG
rnacentral:rRNA from 1 species